UACGUAGGGGGCAAGCGUUAUCCGGAUUUACUGGGUGUAAAGGGGGCGCAGACGGCGAUGCAAGCCAGGAGUGAAAGCCCGGGGCCCAACCCCGGGACUGCUCUUGGAACUGCGUGGCUGGAGUGCAGGAGGGGCAGGCGGAAUUCCUGGUGUAGCGGUGAAAUGCGUAGAUAUCAGGAGGAACACCGGUGGCGAAGGCGGCCUGCUGGACUGCAACUGACGUUGAGGCUCGAGAGCGUGGGGAGCAAACAGG
rnacentral:rRNA from 1 species